AGAGUUUGAUCAUGGCUCAGGAUGAACGUUGGCUGUGUGCCUAAGGUAUGCAAGUCGAACGAUCCCUUUGAAUUACUUGAAACUUCGGUUGAUUGUUUUUCUUUUUGGGAUAGUGGCAAACGGGUGAGUAACACGUGGAUAACCUGCCUUAAAGUCAUGAACAGCUCAUCGAAAGAUGGGAUAAUACAUGAUGGUCUUACAAUUUCUAUCCGACUUUGUAAGUAAAGCUCCGGCGCUUUAAGAGGGGUCCGCGUCCUAUCAGCUUGUUGGUGAGGUAAUAGCUCACCAAGGCUAAGACGGGUAGCUGGCGUGAGAGCGCGGUCAGCCACCAUGGAACUGAGACACGGUCCAUACUCCUACGGGAGGCAGCAAUUAGGAAUCUUGCGCAAUGGGGGCAACCCUGACGCAGCGACACAGCGUGGAGGACGACGGUCUUCGGAUUGUAAACUCCUUUUAUAUGGGAAGAAUAGAUGACGGUACCAUAUGAAUAAGCACCUGCUAACUACGUGCCAGAAGCAUCGGUGAUACGUAGGGUGCGAACGUUAUCCGGAUUUAUUGGGCGUAUAGAGAUGCGUAGGCGUUUCUGUAAGUCUGAAGUUAAAGCCCACGGCUCAACCGUGGAAAAGCUUUGGAAACUACAGAAAUUGAGACAGGAAGAGGCGAAUGGAAUUCCCAGUGGAGCGGUGAAAUGCGUUGAUAUUGGGAGGAACAUCAGUGGCGAAGGCGAUUCGCUGGUCCUUGUCUGACGCUGAGGCUCGAAAGCGUGGGUAGCAAAACGGAUUAGAUACCCGUGUAGUCCACGCCGUAAACUAUGGAUGCUAGGUGUUCGGUACAACCGUUCUUUCCUUCGGGAAAAGAUGGAAGUAUUGAGUGCCGCAGCUAACGCGUUAAGCAUCCCGCCUGGGAAGUACGGCCGCAAGGCUAAAACUCAAAUGAAUUGACGG
rnacentral:rRNA from 1 species